rnacentral:rRNA from 1 species
GUAGGUGGCAAGCGUUGUCCGGAAUUAUUGGGCGUAAAGCGCGCGCAGGCGGUCCUUUAAGUCUGAUGUGAAAGCCCACGGCUCAACCGUGGAGGGUCAUUGGAAACUGGGGGACUUGAGUACAGAAGAGGAAAGCAGAAUUCCAAGUGUAGCGGUGAAAUGCGUAGAGAUUUGGAGGAACACCAGUGGCGAAGGCGGCUUUCUGGUCUGUAACUGACGCUGAGGCGCGAAAGCGUGGGGAGCAAACAGGGAUUAGAUACCCUGGUAGUCCACGCCGUAAACGAUGAGUGCUAAGUGUUAGGGGGUUUCCCGCCCCUUAGUGCUGCAGCUAACGCAUUAAGCACUCCGCCUGGGGAGUACGGCCGCAAGGCUG